CCCCAGUCUCUACUUGUUCAGUCCACUUUCCAUACCGAAGUCAUUCUGAUGGGGUUUUAGUGAUUUCUCAUUGGCUCAGGCUGGCCUUUCAGACUUUCCAUCUCCUGGUUCCCAAUGUCAGGUGUGCAUGUGCUUAGGAGAGCCUUGGCUCUCAUUCUCCGCUCCAACAAUGUGUAGCUACCUGGAGCUUUCCCCCUCCUGCUUGGGCUGUCUUUUCUCCUCUCCUGUAUUAUUUUUUGGGACAAAAAUACCCAGGCAAGAGAUAUUGGAGAUGUGAACUAGGGUGGUGACAUGGAUGUGGUAAGAAUUGAUGAGAUUCUGGAAAAAAGAGGAGGGGAUAAGUUCAAGUUACACACGAACUUAUUUACAAACUAGAAGUAGAGUCACAGAUGUAAAAAACAAACUUAUGGUUACUAGGGAAUGGGGGGAGGGUAAAUAGGGAGAUCGGGACUGACAUAUACACUCUGUGCUAAGUUGCUUCGGUCAUGUCAGACUCUUGUGACCCAUGGACUCUAUCCCACCAGGCUUCUCUGUUCAUGGGAUUUUCCGGGCAAGAAUACUGGAGUGGCUUGCCAUUUCCUUCUCCAAGGGAUCUUUCUGGCCCAGGGAUGGAACCUGCAUCUCUUAUGUCUCUUGCAUUGGCAGGCAGGUUCUUUAUCACUAGCACCAUAAAAUAGAUAACUAAUAAGAACUUUCUAUAUUGCACAGGGAACUCUACCCAACACUCUAUAAUGACCUAUAUGGGAAAAAAUCUUUUUUUUUUAAAACAAGUGGAUAUAUGUAAAAAAAAAAAGAAAAUAAAUUGAUGAGAUUCUGGGCAUAUUUUGAAGGGAAAUACAAUAGGACUUGUUGGAUUUGAAAAUGUGGGAAGAUAAAGGAGUCAAGGAUAACUUUCCAGUUUUGUUAUUUGUUUAUUUAUUUUUGCCUGAGUAGCUAGAAAAACUGAAUUCCGCUAACAGAUUGGGGGGAGACUGGGAAUAACGGGUUUGGAUGGGAAGAGAAGGAGUUCAGUUUUGGAUACAUCACUGGAAAUGGCUAUUAGAAAUCCAGUUAGGUAUAUGAAUCUGGUUCAGGGGACUGAUCUGAGUUGGAGCUGUAAAUUUAUGAGUCAUCAGUGGAAAGGCGAAACUUAAAGCCACAAGACUGAAUGAGAGCACUGAGGGUAUAGGUUUCAUAAAAAGUCGAAGAGGCCUAGGAGCCUUCAGCAUUAAAAGUUUGCGGAGAUGAGCCUCAGGAGAGAAAAAUCAGGAGGAAAAACAGGAAAAUGUAGCACCCCGAAAGCCUAGUGGCAAAAGGAUUUGCUGGAGGAGGAAGUGGUCAAUUGUGUCAAAGGUUAAGUAAGCUGAGGGCUGAGAAUUGACCAUGAGAUUUAAUAACAGGAAGGUCAAUGAUGAUGCAGACAAGAACAGUUCAGGAAAUGAUGUGGCAAAAGCUUGUGGGAUUACAUCUAAGAGAAAAAAGAGAGAGGGGUUGGAGUUAGACAAGUUGUUAAAAUUUUUUUUGCUGUAGAAAGGGUACAGUAAAGUGGAUGUCUGCUAGAGGCUUAAUUAAGAUCAUGAGAGUGUUUUUGUUUAUUUGUUUUUAAAUAUGGGAUAAAUAACAGCAGAUAGAUUAUUUCUGUAUAUUUAUGGGAUUGAUCCAGCAGAGAGGAAAUACUGAUGAAACAAGAGGGAAGAAAUAUUAGAAGAACAAAACUCUCAAGAGAUUGAGAGACUAAAGGACCUACUCCCUGAACAGGGAGGUUGGCUUUAGACAGAAACUCUUCUAUUUUCACGGCUUCCUCUCUCCCUUUACUCUGCUCCAGUGUCUGCUCUUUGAGAAAUCUUUCCUGUCC
ensembl:lncRNA